UAUCCUUAUCUCAACCCAUGAGUUGUUCUUUGCUUUACUUCUCCCCCUCCUCAUCUAAAAGAGGGGGAGUGAGAGAGCGGUUGUGGGGUUUAGCUGCCCAGCACGGUAAAACCACCACAGUUAAACACACAACACAGUUUAAAUGCUUAGAAGUUCUUUGCCAGCUUUCUCCACAAGAUGUCAGUGUGGGUUCUUAAUUCAAUUGUACUGGCACUCUCCUCUGCCUUAUCGCAUUGCUGAAAAAAAAUGGAGACAGGGUUGGGCAACUCCUUCUGCAUACGUUUAUUUUGAAGCUGAAUUCGGUUUGCAUCAUGUACAAAUACCGUUAUUAACCUGGAUUUUACCUUUGCCGUUUAAACGGACUUUGGGAUCAGGCUGUUGUUUCUAGUCCUUCCUUACAGGAGGAGUGCUAUAUGUCAGACGUAUCUAUUGAACCGCAGAUACCAGUGAAGCUGGCCUGACAGCUGACACUAACAGAGCUGAUGGGUUUGUUGCUGAGUGUGAUUCUGGAGCAGAAACAGGAUGCUAAUGGCAUGGGGUAGUAAGCUAAGACUGCUCAGGAACAAGGCUUGUUAGGCUAGGAUCAUUGCAGUAUAAAUUACAGCAUAAUAUAUUUUUUAGCCUGAGUUAAUAGUUCUGCAUUGACUUGCCUUGCACCAUGUGGGUAUAGCAUGUAGUCGUGUUUAAUUGAUUAUCUCAGCCUAAGGCAUGUUGUUUGGCAAUAGGUGCGGUGUAUUCAUGUCCCUCUGAAACUGUUUAAGGCCUAUUUAGGGUUGGUGAUUUUGUUUAGGUCAUUUACUGUCUCUUGCUGCAUACUCAUCCCAAAGUGGGGGGAAAAAAAAAGCUGGCAGAAUUCGGUAACCUUUGAGUGCCCAAAUGGUUCUUGCUUACAUCCCAUUGGAUUUCAUCUGAGUUGUCAGCUUUCACUGAGAAGAAUGCAACCAAGCUUAAUGCUAUGGAAAGGUAGCAUUCCAUUUUAAGCAAAGUCAGACAUAACCUUUUCCAGGGGAAAACACAUUUUCGUUAGAUUGAUGUUACUUUCAACUGAAUGGCUUCAGCAUCAUUGGUUGAUUACGAGGUGGCUAAAGCAUCUUGAAGAACUCAGAAGAAUAUGAUGUAUUUCAUGAGGUUUGAUAAGAUUAAGCUAGAAUGAAGGUGAAAAUGAAGAAUGAGUGAAGAUGGAUGUUCUUACUGACAAUUAUUUCCUUAUUCAAUAAGAAAGAUCACUUCAACAUACAUUUUUUUUUCCUGAAUGCCUCAUUUGAUAACUUUCCCUAACUGUUCUCCAAUUUCUCUAAUUCUCUCAUUUGUUAUUGAAUGGAGUGUAAACUGAAAAGUAGCGUGCUUGGCCCAUGGUUUCCAAGAGAUAUGCGUAAAAGAGAUGUAGAAAUUUCUGACCCCUUCGGCCAUUUCUUGCCAAUGGCUUUUCUGCCUCUGUCCAAUGUCUGCUCUCCUAAUCUAGUUUACUUUCCAGAGUACACUUUGUGGGCCUGCCACAUCAUAUCAGUCUUCUUAAUUUAUUGUUGCUUGUGGCCUCAUUCAUUCUCCUUCUCUUUCAGAACCUCAGAUCCUUGUUACUGGCAUCUGCCAUUCUCUGGCAUCUUGCCUUAUCACUCUAUGGGUUUUUCCACAGGUAGCUUCUUCCUGCCUAUUGUCAUACCUAAUGGCCUUCACUCCAUCAAUUCCCAACAUUUAGCCCCUUAUUGUCUUUCUCCUACCACCAGUCUUUCUGUACAACACCCUUAUUUCUCUCCUAGGAUCUGAAAUAUUUAUCUUCCUUUUGUGGGCCUGUCUGGGUACCAACACAGGUGUCUAAUUACUUUCCAGUUAGAAACAGCUAGCUGUAGAUUUUUUCUAAAGAAGAGCCCAGAUUUCUCUCAGUGGUAUGACUGUUAUCUUUUCUUAUCCCCAGCACAGUCUUUGCUCCCCUGUCUUCCCACUAAUCUUUUCUUAUCUCCUGAUUUAGUUGUUCCUCUUACUGCUUCAGACUGUAAAUUCUGAUAGCAUACUCUUCUGCCAUUCUUCUGCCAGUGUGAAAUAUCUGUCGCACUGCAGAAAUUACAGAGACUCCUUCUAAGGUGUGUUACCAGCAGUAGGCCAAGGAUAAAUCCUAAUAUCAUUUUUUUUUCCUUUCUUUUCUUUUAAGAAAUGUUAUAAAGUCCCAUUUCUAAUCCAUCAUAAACAGCUUGAUGAAUAGUUUUCUCAUUGAUGAUAAAUGACAAUUGAAAAUGUUCUUCCACCCUGAGAAAAGUACUCUAUUUUAGGACAGGAGAGAAUCCCACAUGCCACAACAGAAUGAGAAAUCACAGCAGAAAAAUUUGGGGGCAAGAAUUGGAACUGGAGAUCUUUUGGUUCAGAAGGUAUUAAAAUCCCAGAAAGAAAAGAGCUAACUUUAAAAUUCUUUGCCCUGAGUUUCCAGAGUAAUAGUGUUAUAUUUAUAGUUUUAUGCUUUACUUAUGCAAUCACAUAUUUUACAAAAGUGAACAGCUGGAUGCUAUUGCUUUUGGUUUCUGACAGAUGCCAAAUGAGGUCAGUUACAGAGUUUGAGCUGAUUCGUGUGGGGUGCAUGCUAGAACUAAGAUCUCUCUACAGAGCACUUAGAUUAAAGGGCCAUAUGCAACUUUAAGAGGAUUUUAUUCUCUUUGCAGUAGGAGCUGCUGUCUUCAUUGUCCAUAGUUCAGGCUAGCAGUGCCUAAUGUGGAAAGAAAAAUGUGCAAAUGGUGUCCUGGUGGUAUUGUACUUUUUUUUUUUUUGUGGUUGGUUCUUGUCUGUUUGUUUUUUAGUGGUUGGUUGUUUUUUUGUUUGUACUGUUUUGUUUUGUUUUUGUUUUUCACCUAUAUGUGCAGAAUUGACUGAGUUCAGAUUUUGGGAGUUAUUGAAAUCAAACUUGUGACAGAGAAAUCUCCAGUAAGACAUUUGCAAGCAUUCAUACAAAUGCAAAUUUUGUCCUUCUAAUACUUAUUUUUUAGUCCCAGAAUCUCUUUUGUUUUGAAGAGGAGGGGAAAGUUUAAGAGAGGAGAGAUUAUUUUGGUUUAUGGUUUUUAUCUGUCAGUGUCUAUAUAUUAUUAAAAGAAACAUUUCCUAUAAAAAUUCUUUUGUUUUGCUGGAUGACUCCAGCUAAAAUGAGAUAUCCAAUAAUAAAUGCUGGAAGCUGAGCCCUUGGGGUCCAUACCAGCAAUGACUGAAAAUCUUUUUCUUCUCUCUGGAGAACUGUGGCCAAUAUUCCCCUUUUAUACAGAAAUGUUUUGGGAGGGAGACUCAAGUGACGUCUUAUUAGUUCUUAUUUCUCUAACCUGAGAAACAGAAGAAAAUGCUCGAGGUGUGGUUACCAGUUAAUCCACAGCAUUAACUGGAGAAAGAAUUGUUUUUGUUGUUGCACUUAAGGUCUUUUUCCUUGUGGUAGACUCCAGACUGUACUGAAUAGCACAGAGUCAAAGGUGUCAGAUCAAAUGCUAUUUUCUGUAAUCUUGAACAGUGUUUUUCAAUAUGCUAACUCAGGAAGGAGGAUCAUGGAAGAUACCUGUCUCCUCUACUGAAAGCUCCUCUUCACGGAACGCACAUUGGAAUCUGAAGCACAGACUGUGACCAUCAAAUUCGUGUCUGUACCAUUCAUCUGCUGGCCAAACUUGGGCAAAUAAUUUCUUUAUGCCUCAGUCUGUAAACAAAUACAACAGUGCUGUCUUUCCCUUGUUUUGGGCAAAGAGAGAAGAAACAACAGUACAACAGAUGCUGUCAUUGCUGUUAUCCUGGAUACCAAUAAAACCACAAAGAUGAAGAGAACAUCAUGGUGGCAUUUUGGUGACUUGCAGAUGCCAGAGUAAGUGCUGAGCAGAGAAGGGAAGGUAGGAAAAAUGGGAAAAUGUCAAACUGAUGAUCAGAUUUAUACCAUUGAAACUAUUCUCAAAUGCAGAAUUUUCCAAAAUGUAUCUGACCAAAGAAUUGGCAGAAUAAAGAUCUUGGAAAGAACUGAAGAUUUAGUUUUGCAAUGUAAAAAAAGUCAUAUAUUUUUUUUAAUUUUGAUUGUAAACUUUUAUAAAAGGAAAUUGUCAUCUGGUAUUCACAAUAAGAUUGUUUUAAAAUGUAAUAAGAUUCAAUUAGAUUUAUUUUGAAUGGGUAACCACUUUUAUAAAGAUGCCACAAAAUGUUUAAUCUCAUGGAGGGAGGCAGAAUUCAAGCAAAAAUUUCAUAUUAUUCUAAUGAAUUUUCUAAAGAUUCUAAUAAUACAGACCAGCCUGUCUAUCUCUAAUUAUAGGCCUUCAUAUACUGUGACUGUUCCCACUCAGCAGUGCAAUUGGUACCUUGAUGGAACACAUUUAGUCUCGCUAUUUUUUUUCCUCAGGAAGGUGGACAGUGAAAUCCAUGCAGCAAGGGCAAAUAGGUAGAAUUUACUUCAAGCCAUGAACAAAGCAGUAGACUUUUUCACUUAAUGUGUGACUUUCUUAUCAACAGCUGCAAGAUUUAUCAAUUAAGCAUGACAGCUACAAUAAGUGAAGCCAGUGUUAAGCAAGACGCCCUUGAUUCUAUUUUUUUUCCUGCUGGUUCUUGAUGUUAUACCAGCAUAUUGUUAAGAUGUCAUCAGGCAAUAAUACAGCAAAUGGAACUUUUAGGACCUCUUGUUAUUAAAGUUGUCUGACAUUUCCUGUUCUAAUUACUAAACAUUUUAAAACUAAUUUUAACUCUUUUGGAGCCUGAAUUUGCCUAUUAGGGAACAAUCUACCUUAGGAAGAUUUAAUCUGGAAAGUUUACAAAUGCAGUGAGCAUUACUGAUAACUAGUUUGCUAGCAUGUUCACUGUAAAGAAACAGAAGAAACUGCAUGAUGAGUAGUGAGGGAAAAGAGGGACAAAACGUUAUUAUUUCUGUGGUAGACAUGCUUCUGUCCCUUUACUCCAGGCUUGUGUUCUUUCUUAGUAUUAAAGGUAAAAUUUGAAGUAUUCAAUAAACAUCUAAUUAUGGAGUUGUCUCAUUUCAUAAUUAGUUCCAAUUUUAUUUAUUUGGUAGAACUCUAUAUAAGAUAAGGGGCUAUUUCCUAUAAAUUAUUAUUUCAUAAACUCAUCACAGGAAUGGAGAACACUGUAUGCUACCUUACCACAGUGGAAGAAUUAUAGAUUAAAAUCAUAUAAGCAUUAAGGUUGGAAAAGACUUCCAAGAUCAUCUAGUCUAACUGUCCCCCUAUCACCAAUAUCACCCACUAAUCCUUGUCCCUAAGUACCACGUCCAACCUUUGCUUAAACACCCCCCGCGAUGGGGACUUCACUACCUGCCUGGGCAACCCAUUCUAAUGCCUAACCACUCUUUCCAAGAAGAAAAUUUUCCUAAUUUCCAAGUUGAACCUCCCCUGGCACAACUUGAGGCCAUUCUUUCUUGUCCUAUUGCUAGUUAUCUGUGAGAAGAAACCGAACCCCAGCUCACCACAGUUUCCUAUAUUAGAAGGAAUAAGGGGUUACAAUUAAGAAGAUACAAUAUCUUGAAUAUGCAGCAAAUUUCUACUUUUUUCCCACUAUGAUAACGUAGAGAAUUUAUGGAUAUUCAUUAAACAUUUAGCUGGACAAUUCAUUAGAGAAUGUCGUGUAGGAGGGAAAUGAAUGCACAAUGUAACAAUCUAUUUCUACCUUCAACUUCUCUAAGUCCUUCGUGCUAUGUUAAGGAAUUUUAAAUUAAUCUCUUUCUGCCUUCCAAUUACCCUUUUUUUUUUUUUCUUUCAUAUUUCUUAUGAAAGAAAUGUGUCUUCAGGUAUUACAGGAUCUUAGUGGGGAAAAGUAUUUCUGAUGGAUGGCUACAAACUCUAUAGGUGACACUGUUAGUAACCUUUAAGUUAACAUGUGUAUUGGGUUUAUGUGGCAAGGUUUUGGUAGCAGGGGGCUGCAGGGCUGGCUUCUGUGUGAAGAAUCCAGAAGCUGCCCCAUGUUAGAUAAGAGCUGGUUUCAGCUGGGUCCGAAGGGACCCACCACUGGCUACAGCCAAGCCAGUAAGUGAUGUUGUUUGUGCCUCUGUGUGAGCAGAUUUAAGAAAGGAAAAAAACAAACAAACACUGCUGCACAACAGCAGCUGGAAGAGUGAGGAGUGAGAAACAGCCUUGCAGACCCCAAGGUCAGUGCAGCUGGAGGUGCUCCAGGCAGGCAGCAGCAGUUCCCCUGCGGUCUGUGGAGAGGCGCCUGGUGGAGCAGUGUGUCUCCCUGCAGCCCAUGGGUCCCACAUGGAGCAGAUCGCCACUCUGCAGCCCAUGGAGGAGCCCCCGGUGGAGCAGGUGGAUGCGGCCCAGAGGAGGCUGUGGCCCAUGGUGAGCCCCCACAGGAGCAGCCCCAGGCUGGAGCUGCAGCCCAUGGAGAGGAGCCCACGUAGGAGCAGGGUGUCUGGGGGGAGCUGCCACCUGUGGGAGACUCAUGCUGGAGCAGUUUGCUCCUGACGGAUGGGCCCCAUGGUAUUGAGCCAUAUUGGAGCAGUUCUUGAAGAGCUGCUGCCUGUGGGAAGCCUAUGCAGGAUCAUUUUGGGAAGGACAGCAUCCUGUGAGAGGGACCCAAUGUGGAGCAGGGACCGAGUGACUAUGAAGGAGUGGCAGAGACAAAGCAUUAGGGACUGACCAUAGUUCCUAUUCCCCAUUCCCCUGUGCUGCUUGGGGGGAGGAGGUAAAAGAGGGAGGAUAUGGAAGAAAGGUGUUUUUUAGUUUGCUUUUUUGGUUUAGUUUCUCACCGCUCUAGCUUGUUAGUAACAGGUAAUCAGUUUCUCUAAUCAUGUGCUGAUUCUGUUUUGCCAUGACAAUAAUUGUUGAGUGAUCUCCCUGGCCUUAUCUCAACUCUUGAACCCUUUGUAUUGUAUUUUCUCCCCCUUUCCCUUCAGAAAGUGACAGAGCACUUGUGGCAGAGCUUAGCUACUCAGCUGUGUAAAACCACCACAGCAUUUUACAAUUUACGGCCGUAGCACACAAGAACAGAGAUUUUUAGGGUCUCAGAAAAGGUGAAGUAGCAGAACUAUUGUCCAGUUAAGCUUUGUUAUUUCCAGUAUCUCCUCGGUGAACUGAAAGUCUCUGGCUGAGCUAUAAUGCUAGGUUUCACUAGAUGGAAUCUUGACCACUGUGAUACAAAUGAAAACACCUUACAUUGAAAACAGAGCACCAGAUUAUUUCUGGUUGAACAAAAUAAUCUGUGAAGCUGUUGUGAUGCUUGAUGUCCAUGUAGAACUCCAGGAGUUUAAAAGGGUCCGUCUCAUAAUGGCCAUGAAUUAUUCAGACCCUGGGAUUAGUCAGGCAUGUAACACAGUAUGCCAUAAAAUUACUUUUCCAAGCUAAAAUGGAUAUUAGUGAUGAAUUUGCCUCUAGGAUAUGUGUUUUCAUCAAGAGUUACUGAGAAAGCUGUCUGAAUAAUCAAUCCAGAAUUACCACAGCCAAACAUACAUACACUUAAUUUUUAUGUCAGUGUCCCUAGACAAAUAGCAAGGCAAAACAAACAAACAAACAAAACAAAACAAAACAAACAAACAAACAAAAAAACACACGAAGCUUUAUUGUUUACAAGCAAGGCUUUGAAAGAUGUUCUUUUUGUUUCUCUGCUGACUGUCAUAAGGUGAGAAAGUGAGUUUUUCCUUCUCUCUUCUAUCAUAUGCAAAUGAAUCAUUUCACUGGCUUUACACAAGAGUUUCUUACCUGCUUGUUUAUUUUCUGCUUACCUCCUCCAACUCUCAAGAACAUCACCAUCUCUAUAGCCUUCCCCUAUUUGUAGACUUGUCACCACUUUGUCUUCUCACAUCAGUUGAAGUGUUUAUAGAUAUUCAUCAUAUUCAUCGCGGCGUGUGUAUCUGAAUGAAGAAGUGAGAAGAUAGCUGUGAAAGCAUAUAGAUAUGUUGCUGAAGUAAGAAAUCCUUAAAAGAAUAACCUUUGGGGACCUAAGAUUGAAUCCUUUCCAAUCCAGGCAUGGUUUAUGGCCCAUCAGAAGUUUCCAUCAAAGUGUGACCUGGGGUUUCUUAAUACAAUGUUGCUUGACUGUGAUUAAUAUUCCCAAACUGAGUAAUGACUGCAGAACAGAAAUUGUAUUGCAAAUCUGUUAGGACACACUUUCUUACUAGAUUCUCUACCUGUCUGUGUUAAGUGAUUGAUUUGAUGGAAAAUUAACAGCAUCUGUUUUUACCAUUUCUGUCUCAGGCUGUGUGUAAAGUUAUGCAAAAUUAAUCUAAUAAAAAUUAAAAAGAUA